UAGCUAGUCCAGCCACUGUACACCCUGA
rnacentral:piRNA from 1 species